rnacentral:misc_RNA from 1 species
ACCGGUAGACACGCAUAAGCGGAACACAAUGCCGCUUAUACGGCCUGGCAUGCCGAAGCCGCCGCAGGGCUUCGAUGUUGUGCUGGUCAAGCUGGAGGAGUACGAUGAGCAGAUGAAGCUGGCCACCCAGGAGGAAUCAAAGGGUGUCGUGGGGGUGACCACCCGGCCUCGGCACAGGGGCCGCAGCGGUGGCUGCGGGGCUCGCAAGCGCACGCGUGAUGACGACGCCAACGAUGAAGACGGCACCGUAUCGCCGCCUGCAGAAGCAUCCUCGACAGUCGCAGCCGUGGAGAGCGAAGUCGGCACCUCCACAGCGGGCGACGACAACGCGGAGGCUAAGGAAGAGGCGCCGAUACCGCCGCUGUGGCGCAUGGCCGCCAUCAACCGCGCUCGCACUCGCUACGUCUUUCUCGCCUACUACAAGCAGCACAUCAUCUCCAAAGAGGUGUACGACUACUGCGUCGAUACGAGGCUGAUUGACGGCGGACUCGCCCGGCGGUGGCGGCUGCCGGGGUAUGAGCGGCUGUGCUGCACGGCGUGCGGUGUGCCCGGGGCAGCGAGUCUGGCAGCGAGCAUCACCUCCAAGUACGCCCUGCGCGAUCGGCAGGAGCGGCGAUUGACCACGUCAGCGUCGCAGCAGCGCAUCCACGACACGGCCACGUGCCUUUGCCGAGUGCCCGCGGCCCAGCGCAGGAGUAAGUACUUUGUGGCGUGUGCGGUGUGUGGGUGCCACGGUUGUUGCUCUGCAGAUGCCAUGAAGAGGCCGACGGAGGGAGACGGCGGCGAAAAGACAGACAAGACGCGGGAGGAACCGUCCGUGAACGCACCUGGACGAGGAGAGGCGUAGAAACGUUGAUGUGGGACGGGAUAUGGUAUGAGGAAUGCGUGAGAAAGACUGGGCUGACAUGUGCGGAGCUGUGAGGACGGCGUUCCCAUCCGUCCUGCCCACACCCCACCUUGACGGGACCUCUUUUUUCUCGCGUUUACUUGUCGUCUGUAUGUGUGUGCAUGUGUGUGCGCAGACCUCCGCACGUUACUGAACGAGGGCGUCUCAAAGUCAAGUGCUGUAGGGUAGGCCGCGAGGUGGGUGAACGGCUUGUCGGUCUUCGGAGUGACCCACAAAGGGUCCAGCGGAUGAGCAGAUCUCUGAAGUCAGGCUGCUUGUCAAUGGCCCUCUAGAGCCUCCUCGAUCUCCUCUCCUCUGCGCUCUCUCGCUGAGGUGUUUUGGCGUGUACUGAUGUCUCGUGCGCGCCUCGCGCUCUUUGUCUGCUAUCCUCCCUUCUCUGCGUGUUCCUCUCUCUAUCCUCCCUUUUCUUGAGCGUGCAUGGCCGCCCCCCUCCCCCACUUCCCUAAUAAUAUGGAG